UGAUCCCUAAAGUGCUGAGU
rnacentral:siRNA from 1 species